UGACAACUCCACGGCGAUGGCCGCCACGAAUCCAACCAUUGCUAGUCUCCCGUUGAUCCUCUCAGGUGCUGGACCGCUAAACGCUAGUAAAUCUCCAAACUUCGUACUCACCUAAACAAUAAACAAAUUAUUCAAUUCACAAAUCUAGUUUUUAUCAACAACAACAUGACUUUGAUCAUUAGAUCAUAUAUACCUUAGGCUUGCUAACUGGUGGAGGAGGAGACGGUGGCAUUUGCGGCGGAGUAGCCGAAGUCGAGGUCGAGGGCACAGAAGGAUCUUCCUUGAUAGGAUCGCCCUAAAAAAUUAGUCAACGUAAGGAACGGUCAGGAUUAAAAGUCAAAUAAGUAACGUAUGGAAGUGGAAGGACUAUGAGGUAGUAUAUAUAUAUAUAUACCUGAG
rnacentral:lncRNA from 1 species